GGGCGGGUGAUUUAGCCUGGUAUAAUGCCUGCCUUACUAGCAGGAUGUCGCCGGUUCAAAUCCGGCCUCGCCCACCA
rnacentral:tRNA from 1 species